rnacentral:lncRNA from 1 species
CUCCCGUGCAGCAAACAAACCAAGAACCGCCGCCACCACACCAGGCCGGCCCGCACCGCAGUGGGAAAAGGUCGCGCCUUCGCGCGUGGGCCGCGUGGUCGCCGGAGAUGGGGGCGGAGGGAGGAGGAGCACGUGCAGGGCACGCACGGCGCGGUGGUGGCCGGGGAUGGCCGGGCCGCGGUGGGGCUGGGCAGGGAGGAGGCGGAACGGAGGCGCAGAGAGAGAGAGAGAGAGACAGACAGGGAAGAGGGUAGUGGGGUUGGGUUGCCUUUGGCCCUAUUAUUGUUUUCUUUUAUUUAUUUAUUGUUAUUAUUAUUGUGGCCAAUUUUCACACAAAUUU